rnacentral:rRNA from 1 species
UACGUAGGGGGGCUAGCGUUGUCCGGAAUUAUUGGGCGUAAAGAGCCUGUAGGCGGUUUGUCGCGUCUGCUGUGAAAUUUCGGGGCUCAACCCCGAACUUGCAGUGGGUACGGGCAGACUAGAGUGUGGUAGGGGAGACUGGAAUUUACGGUGUAGCAGUGAAAUGCGUAGAUAUCGAGAGGAACACCAGUGGCGAAGGCGAGUCCCUGGACAAGACCUGACACUGAGGCACGAAAGCCAGGGGAGCAAACAGG